CACACAGCCUUGCUCCCUGUAUCUACAUCUAAUGGUGUUAGGUACCAUUUAUAUUACACACAGCCUUGCUCCCUGUAACUACAUCUAAUGGUGUUAGGUACCAUUUAUAUUACACACAGCCUUGCUCCCUGUAUCUACAUCUAAUGGUGUUAGGUACCAUUUAUAUUACACACAGCCUUGCUCCCUGUAACUACAUCUAAUGGUGUUAGGUACCAUUUAUAUUACACACAGCCUUGCUCCCUGUAUCUACAUCUAAUGGUGUUAGGUACCAUUUAUAUUACACACAGCCUUGCUCCCUGUAACUACAUCUAAUGGUGUUAGGUACCAUUUAUAUUACACACAGCCUUGCUCCCUGUAUCUACAUCUAAUGGUGUUAGGUACCAUUUAUAUUACACACAGCCUUGCUCCCUGUAACUACAUCUAAUGGUGUUAGGUACCAUUUAUAUUACACACAGCCUUGCUCCCUGUAUCUACAUCUAAUGGUGUUAGGUACCAUUUAUAUUACACACAGCCUUGCUCCCUGUAUCUACAUCUAAUGGUGUUAGGUACCAUUUAUAUUACACACAGCCUUGCUCCCUGUAACUACAUCUAAUGGUGUUAGGUACCAUUUAUAUUACACACAGCCUUGCUCCCUGUAUCUACAUCUAAUGGUGUUAGGUACCAUUUAUAUUACACACAGCCUUGCUCCCUGUAACUACAUCUAAUGGUGUUAGGUACCAUUUAUAUUACACACAGCCUUGCUCCCUGUAACUACAUCUAAUGGUGUUAGGUACCAUUUAUAUUAGACACAGCCUUGCUCCCUGUAACUACAUCUAAUGGUGUUAGGUACCAUUUAUAUUACACACAGCCUUGCUCCCUGUAUCUACAUCUAAUGGUGUUAGGUACCAUUUAUAUUACACACAGCCUUGCUCCCUGUAACUACAUCUAAUGGUGUUAGGUACCAUUUAUAUUACACACAGCCUUGCUCCCUGUAUCUACAUCUAAU